rnacentral:sRNA from 1 species
CGUUCAGGUUCGAGCCGAGCGAAGCGAGACAACAGCGCUCAGCGCUGGCCCGAAGGGCGA